GUUAUUUUUUUUUGUAUUUUGCAGAUUAUCCCUUCUGAAAGGGUUUCAUUAACAUAAAUUGCUUAAACUCUCAAAGGAUGCUCGUUUAUGCCUUUUAAGUGUGUUCGAAAUAACGAGAAAUAAUAAGCCAUUUAAUAAUUACUAAAUAAAAUAGUGAGCAAUUUAUUUAAUUUAUUGUUUUACCUCUAACCCGGUCUUGAGCUAACAGAAUAAAAAUACUAAAAUUGCUAAUAAAAUUUUGAAAACAAAAGCAACAUCUUUUCAAAAAAUUGCUGUUCCUGUGUGUGUGCUAGAACCACACUUCAAUAAGCGUGAAUACAAACAAAGUGAAAAAUCUAUGCGCUCUGAUUUACGAGUACAUACGAGUACGAGUAUCUGUUGAUUUGUUAUUGUGUUGCGCGCUCCUUUUUGGUGUAUACUUUAUUUUAAACGCAGAGCAGCACAUGGCAGCGUGGCCCUUCUUUCUGCCUCACAUCAUAAGAUCAUCCCAACAGUCGCUCCCUUAUUGAAGAUGUGAUCGAUUGAAAUGGAUGUCUUAUUCAAUGGAUGCCCUUGCGAGCGGCCCACUAAUCAAAAUUUCGCCCGUUGUGAUACCAUACAGCCAUACCAAGUUUCACCGCAUGAACACCUAAUGGGCAAUGCCCGGUAACUCCUUUAAUUUGAUUCACACCAAACUUCAUACAAACACUCUCCAAACUGCGCCAAAGCAUAUCUGAACAUUUCAUCAAAAUCGGUUCAGUGGUUUCGGCCUCCAUAGAGAACACACAAACAUAAAAUUAUAAUUCCUCUUUUACAUAAAUAUAUUUCAAA